AGAGCAUCCCGACCCUGCCCGCCGCACCCGGGCGCGCCGCCGGACCCUCCCCUGCGCGCCCGGAGCUUCCCCCGCGUAGUGCCGGGGCGGGCGCGGGCGCGCGUGUGGAUGGUGGCGUGGGGCUGGCCUGACUCUCGCGUCUUCCCUUGCGUGGUUUGGCUCCGUUCUGUAUAUCCGAUAUCUGGAGAUGCUGUAGGUAUCCCCCUCACCGUUAGGUACCUCGCCAUAAUACCCGUACUCUCUUCCCCCCACCCUAGUCCCUCAGGUAGAGGUGGCGUGCAGGAGUGGUUUUCAUUGUCAUUCUCCCCGUCCUAAAGCAAUCACUGUGACCCUUGUUUUCCUGUUUUGAUAAGCGGAGUGGUGACUAACUAUGAAGGAGAAAACUGCAAAGAUGAUGGGAUGGUCUAGUGAACCUUUUAAAAGGCUUCCUGCUCUUUAGUUUGUUGCUUUUUGUGUUAUGUAAUUAAGUAGGAUAUUGAGACUGGAAGUUCUGUUGAUAUUAAAGAAAGAUUUCAUAAUGAUUGACAGCUUCUAAUGUGAUACUUUAAAAUUAAAUUGGACAGCUAUCCUUGUUGAAGCUGGAAGAUUCUUGGUCAAGCUGUGGUCCUUGUCAGGAAGACUACGCUCUUGUUUUUCCUCCCUUCAUAGCCAGGCAAUCCUUAGUAUUCAGUAACUGAAGACUGCUUUCUUCGGAACUAGAGAGAGCAUGACAGAAUGCUUCCAAAUGCUCAUUUAGUUUGUGAUGUUUAAUUUGUUGUAUAGAAAUUUUCUCUUUUACCUGUUUAUGUAGAGCUUAUAUAAUGACGUAAUGUAACACUUCUCUGACUGAUGCAUAUUUUAAGAUGUGCAGAUUUGUAGAAGAAAUCCUAGUUCUUUCUUAGGAAUUGUGUUUUCUACAAGGCCAUGGUCCAAGGAAAAAGAAAGUUUGGCAUGCGUUUAGGGAAAAGAGGAUCAGAUCUGAGGGCUGGCCAUUGAGGACCAUGGCCAUGUUCUUUGAGAAUAUCUAAUCCAUGCAUUACACUUUGCUGCUCACUUCUAAGUCGUGAUGCUCCUUCUGAAGCACACAAGUACAGGAAAAGGAGAGGUCUUCUCUAUUCUGUAUUGGAUGAUGUCUGUAACGUUCUGUCUCUACAGAUUCUUGAGCAGUGUGUUUCCAGUUUCUCUGUUAUCUCAUAUUUCCUCUAUUUUUAAGCUUUAUUUCUUUAACUAGUUUUGUACUUGCUUCUGUUGUUAAUACAGAUCAGGUCUUGCCAUGACUAUUGUCAGUUUCAUACUUCUUUGAAGACUUAAAGAGGGAGUUGUAAAGCUGACCAGGGUCUUGAUGGUUUUCACUCAUUUUGUGGUAGGCAAAUAUUUGCAGUAUAAACAAUUAUAUUGGUUAAAACUUCCUAGCUGAAACAUGAUAUAAAGUGACAAAUGAAUGCUUAUUUUCAAUACAAAACUGCAUUAAAAAAAAUAAUCCGCUGACGACACCACCACCACCUCCCUC